rnacentral:rRNA from 1 species
UACGUAGGGUGCGAGCGUUAAUCGGAAUUACUGGGCGUAAAGCGUGCGCAGGCGGUUUUGCAAGCCGGAUGUGAAAUCCCCGGGCUCAACCUGGGAAUGGCAUUUGGGACUGCAAGGCUCGAGUGCGGCAGGAGGAGACUGGAAUUCCGCGUGUAGCAGUGAAAUGCGUAGAUAUGCGGAGGAACACCGAUGGCGAAGGCAAUCCCCUGGGCCUGCACUGACGCUCAUGCACGAAAGCGUGGGGAGCAAACAGG